GGUUGCUCAUUCACUCAGUUAUAAAUGCUUUUGCGGUUUCACCGCAAUUCACGCUCAUAACCACUAGAAUGACGCCGUAGAAAAGGUGCCUAUCGUUCACUACUCCGAUAUCGUUGCUUCGGCAAUCUUAUCAAACAUCGAACGACACGUUGAGUGAGGCACCACCUC
rnacentral:sRNA from 1 species